rnacentral:rRNA from 1 species
UAACUGACCUAGCGGCGGACGGGUGAGUAAUGCUUAGGAAUCUGCCUAUUAGUGGGGGACAACAUUCCGAAAGGAAUGCUAAUACCGCAUACGCCCUACGGGGGAAAGCAGGGGAUCUUCGGACCUUGCGCUAAUAGAUGAGCCUAAGUCGGAUUAGCUAGUUGGUGGGGUAAAGGCCUACCAAGGCGACGAUCUGUAGCGGGUCUGAGAGGAUGAUCCGCCACACUGGGACUGAGACACGGCCCAGACUCCUACGGGAGGCAGCAGUGGGGAAUAUUGGACAAUGGGCGGAAGCCUGAUCCAGCCAUGCCGCGUGUGUGAAGAAGGCCUUUUGGUUGUAAAGCACUUUAAGCGAGGAGGAGGCUCUUAAGGUUAAUACCCUUGAUGAGUGGACGUUACUCGCAGAAUAAGCACCGGCUAACUCUGUGCCAGCAGCCGCGGUAAUACAGAGGGUGCGAGCGUUAAUCGGAUUUACUGGGCGUAAAGCGUGCGUAGGCGGCUGAUUAAGUCGGAUGUGAAAUCCCUGAGCUUAACUUAGGAAUUGCAUUCGAUACUGGUCAGCUAGAGUAUGGGAGAGGAUGGUAGAAUUCCAGGUGUAGCGGUGAAAUGCGUAGAGAUCUGGAGGAAUACCGAUGGCGAAGGCAGCCAUCUGGCCUAAUACUGACGCUGAGGUACGAAAGCAUGGGGAGCAAACAGGAUUAGAUACCCUGGUAGUCCAUGCCGUAAACGAUGUCUACUAGCCGUUGGGGCCUUUGAGGCUUUAGUGGCGCAGCUAACGCGAUAAGUAGACCGCCUGGGGAGUACGGUCGCAAGACUAAAACUCAAAUGAAU